rnacentral:sRNA from 1 species
GCUAUAUUUCUUAGAACAUGUUUCAUGCAUGAACGUAAAAAGAAAAAAAAAAUAGACAACAUGAAUAUUACGGAAGGGAAUAAAAAGCUGAACAUAUAAUGAACAAGAUAUAGAAAGGAUUUAUUAAAGGACGAAGAAAAGGAGUGAAAAUUAUGGAUUCAUUUGGUGUCAACAGAUAAUGUAUAAAGUAGAGUACUUGAGUAUGUUAAAAAAAGACUACCAGAGUUAAAUGACAUCAUAAAUGAAACUAAAAACAGUUUGAGUUUCAAUCCAAAAAUAGAGUACUUGAGACUUGAGAGGUAGUUGAAAAAGAGUUAAUUAACAUCAAUGAAAUGAAGUUAUAAACAAGUUUGAGUUUCGAUCUAAAAACUAGGAUUUGGAACUAAAAUUUGCCUCUGAAAUUAUUGGAGUAAAACGGUGCAACGACGGCGAGUGGCAGAUCCUUUGGUAGAAUAGAAGGAAUGACCACGUGUGGUUGGUUGUUGUCAUCACUAUUAUGAUUUCCCUCGUAAAGCCAUAUUUCAUUAUCAUUGUCCCCAUCUUAUUUCACUUCAUACAUACCUAGAAACACAAAAAUGUCUACUUACACACAUUUCAGCAUAUAUAUCACAUUUUGUAUAUACAUAAUUUAAAUAAUAAACCACUCCAACUUUUAUGAAUUGGAAAGGGAACAUAAUCAAAAAUUAUACCAAACCAGAGUUUCUAAAGGAUAAACAUUUUGUGGUAAAGAUAAAACUAAAUAGAAGUCAUACUUUAAAGAAAUGGAGAAUAGCAAUUGAUUUAACAUGAUACAAUCUUUUUUUUUGAAAAAACAUGUUACAACGAUGAAAUAGAUAAAGAUGUCAAAGUUUAUGCUGACAAAAUCUUUUUUAAAAAGAGGGUAAAAUAAGUUUAACAUGAAGGUAUGAGAUCAAAAGGUUAUGAGUAAAAUUUUCUUUCUAUGAAACAGCUUAACUUAAUAAAAUACAUAUCAAAUUAAAAAAAAAAAGACAUUGACAUAUAUAUCAUCGAUGUAACACAUCAACCACCAUCUUUCUUGAGAGUUUUCUUGUUCGUGUGAGGAGAACUAAGAUGUGUUUUGAAUGGAAGGAACGAAGAUGUGAGUUUUAAACACAAUCACAAUGUUUUACUAUGGUUUUGCUUAUGUUUUGCUAUGGUUUUACGUAUGUUUUCUUUAUAUUUUUAAUAUUAUCUUUUAAAUAUAGUUCUUCCAAAAAUUUCACUUUCCCAAAAUAUAUUUAAUUAGUAUAAGAAUUUAUAGUUUCAAUUUUAUAGUACAUGCCCGCCUAUUUUAUAGUAUAUUUAACUGUGACUUUGAUUAUCUAUCAUGUCGUCAGUCCAAGAAGCCAUGUUAUCUAAGUUUCUAACGCAAAGCUUAACAGCUUCCUCUUCGGUUCACCUGAACCGUCAAUUUCGACGGCGAUAUGUUGUUGCAGUUAAACUUCACCAACCCGAACAAGAAAAUCAGUGUGAUGUUUGAGAAAGUUUCGGUAAAAAUAUUGUUUACCGACGAAAUGAUUGCCACACAAGGUAUCUUGCCGUUUUCGCUAAGAAACAACACGACUAGGCUACAAACGAUCCAUUUGGUUGCAAAGCCGAUCUUCUUGCCUAUAAAUGAUAUGGUUGAGCUCAGAAGACAAGUGACGAGCAACAUGAUUGAAUAUGAAAUCAUAAGUAGAUUCAGAGUAAAAGUUGUUAUUGGGUAUAUUAACUAUUCGUAUUGGUUAAAAGGGAGUUGUCAACUUCAGUUGACCAGUCCGCCAGCCGAUGACUUACUGUCUCGGAAGUAUACACUACAGAAAUAUGAUGAAGAAUGUAUGAUGGGUGAUAUAUAUAUAAAUAUUGAUAUAUAACUCAUAAUACUAUUUAGAUUAUGAUGUAUAUCUAAUUAGCUUUCCUCUAUCUAUCCAAAUAUGAUUUCUCUUCUUAUAAAAUUAUUGUUCUUCAUAUAUGAUUAAAUGUGAAAUUAUCACAUAAACUGAUAGAAUCGUACGCAACAAUCUUUUUAUAUUGUUAUGGCAAAAAACUAAGUUUUGCAUAUGUUUUGCUUUCGUUUCUAAUAU